UUAAAUCGAGUUUCAAAAUAUUAUAACGUUUGUUAAUAUCCCAUAUUCCAUAUUUUUAAUGGUGUUUUUUAUUAAAUUAUAUAUUAUUAAUAUAAUUAAUUUAAAAUUUCAAACUUUUUAAUACGGUUUCCGUCAGCGAAUUAGGGUUAAAAUCCAUAUAUUAGUUAAUUAAUACUUUUUGGAUUAAAUAAAUAUUAUAUUAUGUAUUAUUUUGCACGCUACCUUGCAAUUUACCCUGAACUUAUUUAAUAAAUCGAAUUUCACUUGUUACGUGCACCUGGACCAGUAAAAGUACCAGGGCACCCAUUUUAUUAUACUUUUAGGGAUUUUAACCCUAUAUUCUUAAUGGAUUCCACUAUUAAAAAUAGUGAUAAACCUUAUAUUUUUAACAAAUAUAUACCGAUACCCGUUUAAAAUAAACAAAUAUAAUAAAAUUUCAAUUAGGGUAUUUUUCAAAAUAAUUAAAUUAAUUAGUUUUCGAUUAAGACUAAUUUUAUUUCGUUAUGGAGAAUAGUUAAAUACCGUCUUUCCUAAACCCAGUUUUAUUUAAUAGUGGGUUAACGUCCAGUUUGAACGAAAUUUUAACCGUUAAAUUACAAACCCAAAUAUAUUAAUAUAAAAGGUUAAUUACGCAAAUAGGUUAAUUUUAAUAUAUAAUUUGACAAUUGAUAUUUUUAUUAACGUUUGAAAAUAGUAAAUUUACCAACUCUAAUAUUUUGCCUAUAUUAAUAUACCUAAAAAUAGUAAUUUAAAGGCAAAUUUAUAAAUUCUUAAUAUUAAUAAUAUUACCGCAAUACCUAACCCAUUUUAUACUUUAAUUUCAAGUAAUAGAAUAAAUAAAUAAAAUAUUAAAACAGGUAUUACUUUUUGCUAAAGAUUGGAAAUUAAUAAUUGUUAAAAGUUUUAACCUGUGUAUAUUAAAACUUAUAACACACUUUAAAAUUAUAGAAAUUGCGGAAUUUAUUUUUAUUGUCAAAAUUGGUUAUAAUUUACCCCAGUCCAAAUAUUUAGUUUUAUUAUUAUUAAUAGGGGAUGUUCUAAUUAAAAAACCGUUGAAAUUUAUAACAUUGUAUUUUAACCCUAUAAUAAUUUCGUAAAUUGGAAAUAAAUAUUAUAUCGAUAAAGUUGAAAUUUGUUACGAUUAAGGUAUCGGGUAACCUGUUUGUAUAGUAAAAUAUAGUGGGUUAAAACAAUUGAACGUCUAAUUGGGUAACUGGGGAUUUUUAAUAACUGGGGUAAAAUUAUAAUCGAUUCCUGGGUGGGUAAUAAAUUAAUU
rnacentral:sRNA from 1 species